rnacentral:lncRNA from 1 species
ACAUGCAUGAAACAUUAAAUACAGACGAAAACAAAAACUAAUUGCACAAUUUGUCUGUAAAUCGUGAGAUGAAUCUUUUGAGCUUAAUUAAUCCAUGAUUAGAUAAUAAUUACCAAAUAAAUACAAAAUUGCUACAGUACCCAAAACCAAAAAAAUCAUAACUAAACAAGGCCUGAAACUUGCUUACGUUAUUAUAUUGGUCCUGCUAAUGUCUGCACGUCCGAUCCGCACACUAAAUUUUCAUACUGCAUCUCACUCCUUCAGCAAUGGAUCGCGCCCCCGCCCACCUCACGCGGAGAAGAAAGUAGAGAACUAGAGAUCGAAAUUGCCCUUCCUAUGCUCUCGUCUCCCUGCACAUAGAACCCGCUCGCCCCAACCUCACCUCGAACGGAUCAAAUAGAGUAAGUUUCCCAUUCGCCCCAACACACUCUCAUCAAAAAAAUUGCAACAUCAAACAAACACACAAAAAUAAGGUGAAACAACAAAACAAGAGUGAUUGCAACGAAACUAGAUGCAACAUCGUAAAAAUAUGCAACAAAGAAAAAAACUUGUUGCUCCAAUUAACCAAAGCUACUGCAACAACAGAAACAAAAGCAUAAAUACUAAAUGCAAACAUCUUAUUGCAACGAAGAAAAACUGCUUGUUGCAACAACAAACCAAAUCUACUACAACAACGGAAAACAAAAGGACAGUGCGAGAUGCAACAACAGCGAAAAAACUAAUACAAGAAAAAAAGACUACUUGUUGCAAUGGUGAAAACAACACUACUACAAUAAUAAAAAUAAAAAAUGCAAUGCGAGAUGCAUCAUAAAAAAGGUCUAAUGCAACAAAGAAAUGUUGCUUGUUGCAAGAGCAAAAAUGACGCUAUUGCAAUAACGCAAACAACAACUCAAUGCGAGAUGCAACGUUAGAAAAAAGACUAAUGCAACAAAGAAAUAAUACCUGUUGCAAUAGCAAAAUAAAGCCUACUGCAAAUAGAGCUCGCCGAAACCUAGCCACCAUCAAGUCCCUCAGAUCUAGAUCUAGAUUCAGAGGAGUAGGAGAAAGAGAGAUCACAUCUAGAGGAGGAAGAAGAAAAAGAUCAGAUCCAAAGGAGGACCCACCUACCUUGUCGGAAAGCCAUUGCGCUUCUCUCUC